GCCCGCCUAGCUCAAUCGGAUAGAGCGUCAGACUCUUAGGAGUGCGGGUGCAGAUCCUGCGAUCUGAAGGCUGCGAGUUCGACCCUCGCGGUGGGCU
rnacentral:tRNA from 1 species